rnacentral:rRNA from 1 species
AACCGCGGUUAGACGAGAGGCCCCAGUUGAUUAAUUCACGGCGUAAAGGGUGGUUAAGGAAAUUAAAAGGUAAAGCCGAACGGCCCCUUGGCUGUCAUACGCUCCUGGAAGCCAGAAGCCCUAGUACGAAAGUAGCUUUAUGUACACCUGAACCCACGAAAGCUAAGAAA